rnacentral:rRNA from 1 species
CCUACGGGAGGCUGCAGUCGAGAAUCAUUCACAAUGGGGGAAACCCUGAUGGUGCGACGCCGCGUGGGGGAAUGAAGGUCUUCGGAUUGUAAACCCCUGUCAUGUGGGAGCAAAUUACAACAAUAGUACCACACUAGGAAGAGACGGCUAACUCUGUGCCAGCAGCCGCGGUAAUACGGAGGAUGCGAGCGUUAUCCGGAUGUAUGGGGUUUAAAGGGUGCGUAGGCGGAUCGUUAAGUCAGUGGUCAACUUGAGGGGAGCAACCCCUUCCCGCCAUUGAAACUGGCGCUAUGGAGUGGAAGAGAAGUAUGCGGAAUGCGUGGUGUAGCGGUGAAAUGCAUAGAUAUCACGCAGAACCCCGAUUGCGAAGGCAGCAUGCCGGCUGCCGACUGACGCUGAAGCACGAAAGCGUGGGGAUCGAACAGGAUUAGAUACCCCGGUAGUC